rnacentral:rRNA from 1 species
CCUACGGGAGGCAGCAGUAGGGAAUCUUUCACAAUGGGCGCAAGCCUGAUGGAGCAACGCCGCGUGCAGGAUGAAGGCCUUCGGGUUGUUAACUGCUUUUAUAAGCGAGAAAUAUGAUGGUAACUUAUGAAUAAGGAUCGGCUAACUACGUGCCAGCAGCCGCGGUCAUACGUAGGAUCCGAGCAUUAUCCGGAGUGACUGGGUGUAAAGAGGUGCGUAGGUGGCAUAAUAAGUAGCUAGGGAAAUCUGGUGGCGCAACCAUUCAGACUAUUAGCUAAACUGUUAAGCUCGAGACCGUUAGGGGUAACUGGAAUGUGUGGUGUAGGAGUGAAAUCCGUAGAUAUUAGAAGGAACACCAAUAGCGUAGGCAGGUUACUGGGACGGUUCUGACACUAAGGCACGAAAGCGUAGGGAGCAAACGGGAUUAGAUACCCGUGUAGUC